rfam:Dipodomys ordii contig_10383, whole genome shotgun sequence.
GGGAAGCUGGCUCAGUGGUAGAGUGCUUGCCUUGCAUGCAUAAGGACCUGGGUUCAAUUCCUCAGUAUCACA